GACGAACGCUGGCGGCGUGCUUAACACAUGCAAGUCGAACGGAAAGGCCCCUUCGGGGGUACUCGAGUGGCGAACGGGUGAGUAACACGUGAGUAACCUGCCCCUGACUUCGGGAUAACUUCAGGAAACUGGGGCUAAUACCGGAUAGGAAUCCUUGCUGCAUGGUGGGGGUUGGAAAGCUUCGGCGGUUUUGGAUGGACUCGCGGCUUAUCAGCUUGUUGGUGGGGUAGUGGCUUACCAAGGCUUUGACGGGUAGCCGGCCUGAGAGGGCGACCGGCCACAUUGGGACUGAGAUACGGCCCAGACUCCUACGGGAGGCAGCAGUGGGGAAUAUUGCACAAUGGGCGGAAGCCUGAUGCAGCAACGCCGCGGGCGGGAUGACGGCCUUCGGGUUGUAAACCGCUUUCAGCAGGGGCGAAGCUUGUGGUGACGGUACCUGCAGAAGAAGCACCGGCUAACUACGUG
rnacentral:rRNA from 1 species